rnacentral:rRNA from 1 species
GUGGGGAAUCUUGCGCAAUGGGCGAAAGCCUGACGCAGCCAUGCCGCGUGAAUGAUGAAGGUCUUAGGAUUGUAAAAUUCUUUCACCGGGGACGAUAAUGACGGUACCCGGAGAAGAAGCUCCGGCUAACUUCGUGCCAGCAGCCGCGGUAAUACGAAGGGGGCUAGCGUUGCUCGGAAUUACUGGGCGUAAAGGGCGCGUAGGCGGACAGCUUAGUCAGAGGUGAAAGCCCAGGGCUCAACCUUGGAAUUGCCUUUGAUACUGGCUGUCUUGAGUACGGGAGAGGUGAGUGGAACUCCGAGUGUAGAGGUGAAAUUCGUAGAUAUUCGGAAGAACACCAGUGGCGAAGGCGACUCACUGGCCCGUUACUGACGCUGAGGCGCGAAAGCGUGGGGAGCAAACAGGAUUAGAAACCCCAGUAGUCC